rnacentral:rRNA from 1 species
GAUAACGCUGGCGGCGUGCCUAACACAUGCAAGUCGAACGCGCUGAGCAAUCAGCGAGUGGCGGACGGGUGAGUAACACGUGGGUAACCUACCCCCUGGUGAGGAAUACCGGCGAGAAAUCGUCGACAACACCGCAUACGCUUCCUUGGGGAAGCAAAGCUCCGUAAGGGGCGCCAGAGGAUGGGCCUGCGGCCGAUUAGCUAGUUGGGGAGGUAAAAGCCCCCCAAGGCGACGAUCGGUAGCUGGUCUGAGAGGAUGAUCAGCCACACUGGGAUUGAGAACGGCCCAGACUCCUACGGGAGGCAGCAGUGAGGAAUUUUCGGCAAUGGGCGAGAGCCUGACCGAGCAACGCCGCGUGCAGGAAGAAGGUCUUCGGAUCGUAAACUGCUUUUCUCGGGGACGAGCUACGGACGGUACCCGAGGAAGAAGCCCCGGCUGACUACGUGCCAGCAGCCCGCGGUAAUACGUAGGGGGCGAGCGUUGUCCGGAGUUACUGGGCGUAAAGCGCCCGCAGGCGGUCGGUCGCGUUUGAGGUAACAGCUCCUGGCUUACCUGGGAGANCGUCUCAAAGACGGGCUGACUUUAAGGACCAGAAAAGGACACGGAAUUCCCGGUGGAGUGGUGAAAUGCGUUAGAUAUCCGGAGGAACACCAAAGCCAGCAGUGUCUGAUGGUACCUGACCUCNAGGGCGAAACUAGGGACGAAC